UAUCAGGCAUUGACGAAGAGGAGUAUGCUAAGGGUCAGCGCAAUAGAGAGACCGUACAAGGCUGAAAGACGGUUGCGCAGGAUUUUGCAGAAGGUAGCUUCCGAGCUUCCGGGCAGAAAUUAAGUAAGUCCGGACGGUUUAUUCGAACCGUUAAUUUAUCGAGUGCCCAUGUCAGUGGGAAAAAAGGUGGUACCGCGGAGUCUUCGUCCUUUUA
rnacentral:ncRNA from 1 species